UCCCGGUUCACCCGGGCAGUCUCGCUAAAGGGCCCGACAUCACUCGCUGGCAACUAACGAUAAGGGUUGCGCUCGUUGCGGGACUUAACCCAACACCUCACGGCACGAGCUGACGACAGCCAUGCAGCACCUGUGCAAAGACCCUUGCGGGCUGGCCAAUCUCUUGACCAUUCCUCUGCAUGUCAAGCCUAGGUAAGGUUCUUCGCGUUGCAUCGAAUUAAACCACAUGCUCCACUGCUUGUGCGGGUCCCCGUCAAUUCUUUUGAGUUUCACCCUUGCGGGCGUACUCCCCAGGCGGCACACUUAAUGCGUUAGCGGCGACACGGCGGGGGUUGAGUCCCACCACAUCUAGUGUGCAUCGUUUACGGCAAGGACUAC
rnacentral:misc_RNA from 1 species